UAGGGAAUCUUCGGCAAUGGACGAAAGUCUGACCGAGCAACGCCGCGUGAGUGAAGAAGGUUUUCGGAUCGUAAAACUCUGUUGUUAGAGAAGAACAAGGACGUUAGUAACUGAACGUCCCCUGACGGUAUCUAACCAGAAAGCCACGGCUAACUACGUGCCAGCAGCCGCGGUAAUACGUAGGUGGCAAGCGUUGUCCGGAUUUAUUGGGCGUAAAGCGAGCGCAGGCGGUUUCUUAAGUCUGAUGUGAAAGCCCCCGGCUCAACCGGGGAGGGUCAUUGGAAACUGGGCGACUUGAGUGCAGAAGAGGAGGGUGGAAUUCCAUGUGUAGCGGUGAAAUGCGUAGAUAUAGGGAGGAACACCAGUGGCGAAGGCGGCUCUCUGGUCUGUAACUGACGCUGAGGCUCGAAAGCGUGGGGAGCAAACAGG
rnacentral:rRNA from 1 species